UACGGGGGGGGGCAAGCGUUGUUCGGAAUUACUGGGCGUAAAGGGCGCGUAGGCGGCCUGCUAAGUCGGAUGUGAAAUCCCUCGGCUCAACCGAGGAACUGCAUCCGAUACUGGCGGGCUUGAAUCCGGGAGAGGGAUGUGGAAUUCCAGGUGUAGCGGUGAAAUGCGUAGAUAUCUGGAGGAACACCGGUGGCGAAGGCGGCAUCCUGGACCGGUAUUGACGCUGAGGCGCGAAAGCUAGGGGGAGCAAACGGG
rnacentral:rRNA from 1 species